AAUAUUUUUAAUUACUCGAACCCAGUAAGCGUAGCGGGUUGGUCGACUUCUCGUCUUGGUCUUCACAUAAUUCGUUUAUCCGUUUAUCUCCCUCAAGAAAUCGAAAUAAAAUAAAAGAAAAUAUUGAAAGUAAAAAAUCUUACAAUAAAGUACAAAAUAAAGGAACAAGAAAGUGUUUUGCUUACAUAUUUCUCGUUGUCAUACAAACGCGGUGUUUUAUAUUUAACUUGCUGAAUCUUGAAUCUUUUUGUAUGUUUAUUUUCGAAUCGAUAUCUUCUGAGUUUCAAUCAUUUUUGAAGUAGUGUGGUUUCGAGUGAUAUCCCCACAUUCGAUUCGAAUUUUUUGACGCGCAUAGUUAAGUUAAGUCGUUCUAGAAAUCGGAAGGAAUUUGUGUUUCGUGCUCGUGACAUUGAUUGUCGAAUUUGAUUCUUCGAAACGUGUGUUUCUAUUUAACAAUAAUAAUUUGUGCUCUGUCACAUAAAUUGUUUACCUCCUGAUGUUUAUUUCGAUUAACAGUGGCGGAUUGUUUGCUAUUAAAUUGAGCGAACAAAAAACGGAUUGGAUAGACAUCUGAUGAUCAAACCAACUUUCAUACACCAAUAUGCUUUUCUCAUUAAAGAUUUAAAUUAAAACGAAACUUAAAAAAAAAAUUCAUUAUUUUAUUAUUACAAAAACAAAACUAAAUUAAAUCGCUUAACCACGGAUUAAAAACAUAUAUUUUGAAGAUAUGACAGAAAAUGAACCCCUUAACCAUAAUGGCAGCAUAAAAGCCCAAAUAAUAUCAACAACAACAAAUCAUACAGAAAAUGGAACCGUUCUCAAUGGACAUGCCAUCAAACCGAUCACAAAUGGUGUCCAUCAUACAAAUAAAUCAAGUCAUGCAUCACUUGAUGGAGGAUCACCUGUUAGCACACCCCCAUCAAUGCACAUGCACACAAAUAACAAGCCAAUUGUUGUUGUUCAAAUACUGGAGCCCCCUGAUGGAGGCACCCGAGCAUGGCUUGUUAUGAUAAGUGCCUUUUUGUGUAACGGUGUGAUAUUUGGAAUUAUCAAUACCUAUAGUGUAAUACAUUCGUUCCUGCAGGAAAAAUUAACUGAACAACAUGAUACUGAGGCGUCCAGUAAAGCAGCCCUGGUGGGUUCCUUGGCGAUCGGCACAACAUUCCUUUUAUCGCCCGUUGCCGGCAUGCUCACCGACAAAAUCGGUUUGCGAAGAACAACAUUCAUUGGCGGAGUUCUAUCUGCAAGCGGACUCUUCCUAUCGUCAUUUUUUACGCAUAAAAUUGAGGCACUCUACUUAACCUAUGGCAUUAUGUUUGGAUUUGGAGCGGCUUUAGCUUAUACACCAUCUUUGGCUAUAUUGGGACAUUAUUUCAAGCGCUACUUGGGCAAAGUGAGCGGCUUUGUAACUGCUGGUUCGAGUGUAUUCACUGUAAUACUUCCACCCGCUCUCGAUUACCUUAUCAAAGGCCAUGGUCUCCAAAUAACACUUCAAGUGAUGGGAGGGAUAUCGUGUUUUAUAAUUGUGUGUUCCUUUGUCUAUAAGCCAUUGCAUCUUCCACCAGAGCCACCAAAAAAGAAACCGGGACGAUCUGAGUUCAAUUUGUUUUUGCGAUCCAUAAUCAAUGUGGAUAUUUGGAAGCGCAAACGUUAUGUCAUUUGGGCACUGUGUGUACCGAUGGCCUUGUUCGGUUACUUUGUUCCCUAUGUCCAUAUGGUGGAGUUUGUGAAGACAGCUUUUCCCGGAAAGAGCGAGAAUCUACCGGUAAUGUGUAUCGGUGUUACGUCGGGAAUUGGACGUUUGAUCUUUGGAGCCAUUGCUGAUUUGCCAGGCGUGAAUCGCAUUUAUCUACAGCAGUUGUCUCUGGUGUGCAUAGGAUUGGUCACACUCAUGCUCCCAAUGACCAGCUCCUAUGUCUUACUUAUUGUAUUUACCCUGGUUAUGGGUUUGUUCGAUGGGUGUUUUAUAUCCCUACUCGGACCAAUUGCCUAUCAAAUAUGUGGACCUCAAGGAGCCACACAAGCCAUUGGCUUCCUCCUGGGUCUGAGUUCUCUGCCGCUUACUGUUGGGCCUCCGAUUGCUGGCAAAAUAUACGACAGAACGGGUUCAUACACGCUUCCAUUGAUUCUAGCAGGCAUUCCACCCAUCGUUGGAGGAACACUUAUGUUCCUUAUCAAAUGUGUUAAAGAUGAUGGCGUAGGAAAGGACGUUGAAAAAAGUAAAGCACUGCCAAAAGCUGCAUGGAAUGAGGAGAUUAAAGCGAAUGCACCACUCAUGAAUGGAAACUCUAGUAAUGGAUCCAGAUUGCAAUUAUCAUCGGUAGCAGCUGCACCAGUUUCAGCUAAUGGAAAUGUCACGCUUGCUACACCAGUGUUGAUCAACAAUAUAGUUUUACCUUUGGAACAACGAUUAUAAAGAUCAUAAAAAAAGAAAAAUAUUUCUUAUGUUGGUAUAAAUUAGAAUUGCUGAAUUAGAAGACAAAUAAUUUAAUCAUAGCAUGGAAACUAAAAAAUCGCUGAGUGAUGUUCACAUAACUACUGAUCUUAAAUGAUUUAAAAUGUAACUUAUUAAACAGAAAUAUUACAAACAAAAAGUUAUAAACACCCAGACGUCUCGCAUAAAAAUAUAAUUAAAUUAUAUAUAAUAAAUCAAAAAAUCUGGAUUAAGCACCUAAAUAUUUAAUUAACGAAAAAUAUGUAAUAUCAAUUAAAACAAACAAACAAAAAUGGCUGUACUUCAUCUGAACAGUUGCUUUUAAGACUUUUUAUACGUUUUUAUUAUAUAAACAGCAAACAAACACAAAGAUUUUAUUUUUUAGUACAAUUAACAAAAAGUAGUUUUAUUUAAAAUACUUAGAUUCAUAAUUCUAUUUUUAAAUAAAUAAAACUAAACAAAGGAAAAACUAUUCAAAAAGCUUUUAAUGCCUUACACUAAACAAAAAAAGAAAAGAUUUUUAUACAUACAUACAUGAAUGUAAUUCAAAUGUAAGAAAGGAAGAAAUUUCAAUUCAAGAAAGACAAAAUAUAUUUUAUAGAGCUAAUAAAAUGGGAUAUCUACACUAUAUUAUAUAUUUUAGUAUUUAAAGUCUAAGUUUAAAAAAAAAUAUUGUUUAAGAAACAUAAAAUAAAUGUAAAUAUAUGUACCUAAUUUAA